rnacentral:rRNA from 1 species
GUCCGUGCAUGGGAGGGGGCAUAACNUACAUGGAAACGGUAGCAUAAUACCGCAUAANGUCGCAAGACCAAAGAGGGGGACCUUCGGGCCUCUUGCCAUCAGAUGUGCCCAGAUGGGAUUAGCUAGUAGGUGGGGUAACGGCUCACCUAGGCGACGAUCCCUAGCUGGUCUGAGAGGAUGACCAGCCACACUGGAACUGAGACACGGUCCAGACUCCUACGGGAGGCAGCAGUGGGGAAUAUUGCACAAUGGGCGCAAGCCUGAUGCAGCCAUGCCGCGUGUAUGAAGAAGGCCUUCGGGUUGUAAAGUACUUUCAGCGGGGAGGAAGGUGUUGUGGUUAAUAACCNCAGCAAUUGACGUUACCCGCAGAAGAAGCACCGGCUAACUCCGUGCCAGCAGCCGCGGUAAUACGGAGGGUGCAAGCGUUAAUCGGAAUUACUGGGCGUAAAGCGCACGCAGGCGGUCUGUCAAGUCGGAUGUGAAAUCCCCGGGCUCAACCUGGGAACUGCAUUCGAAACUGGCAGGCUGGAGUCUUGUAGAGGGGGGUAGAAUUCCAGGUGUAGCGGUGAAAUGCGUAGAG